CUCUCUCUCUCUCUCUGUCUCUCUCGUACUCUCUAUUUCGCCGCAAUCAAACAAACCCGCGCAGAACGAACAGACAACACCGUAUAAGGUCUGAUUAUGAUUACGCAAUUUGCAUAAAAUGUCCCGCUAUAUGGUAGGCUGUAAAUACAAAUUAAUAUUGCAACGUUUAUUAUUAUUAUUGCUAUUAUUACUGUUAUUACAAAACGUUGUACUCUGCAUUCGUCUUAGUGCCCACUCAAGCAGAAACCUUAACGCCGCAUGUGAUGCGACAACACCAUGGAGGCAAACUACCAUCGCAGUGGUGCGGUUGUCACGGCCAACGUCACAGCCUUACCCACACUAUCAGAUUUUCUUAUGUCUAUCGUACGUUAUUCCUCUCGUAACACUAAAACCAACGGGUGCUUGUUAGUUGUUUAUUUAAUACAGAGCAUUCUCAUUUUUAACCCUUGUGUAAAUAUUUCUGUGGGUUUCGGUGGCUAGGUAAUUUCGUAACGUCCCGAUACGUUUAUAUAUAUGAUGGCGGACUGUGCCGAUGUAUUUCUGGACCACUCGUCGGUGUUUUCUGAGGUCAGUCUGUUAUCGCCAUGCCCUCACGGUAGUGCUCAGGAGUCUAUAUGAUGAAUAGUGAAGGAGACAUGCAGCUAUAAACUUGCGAACUAAAUAUAUCAUUGAAACAACACACAGGUCGAUUAGAAUGAAGACACGAACCAAUCACAAGAUGACGACGGGGAAAUGGAAUUCUGUUCUAACUGAAUUGGUUAUAACUGUGUUUUACCGUCGCUGUACUUGUGCUGUGUGAGCAACUCUUUUUCUUUUUUGUUUUUUGGUCUCUGGGGAGGCCGUGGUGGCUGCACGCUGUCUGCGCUGUCAUUUCCUCUCUACAUGUAGCUCUUCCCCACGGGACGAGGCCACCUCUUAAUGGUCCUGGUAUUUAGACACAGAUAAUGGCCCGGUGUUAAAGAACUGGCACGCUCACACUCGUCUCACUCCGGAGUCUCCCGAGGACUCGCGUUCGGGCCCGUCUGUCUUCUUCUCUCCUCAGCUGCGCCUCCAUCCUGCACUCCAUUAAACUUUCCAUUUAAGCUUGCUCCGAAGCUUCCCGGGCUAUCAGGAGCCGUGAACCUGCACACUGCCGGAAACACCCUGCGCUCUGUGUUCUAACCUGCACUAGACCGUCGCAGCACGAUGAGAGUGCGUGUGAAUUCUGG
ensembl:lncRNA